GAUCAUUUUUUUCAAAGUAAAAGUCUGAGAUUAACCCUCUGUGUGUGUGUGUGUGUGUGUGUGUGUGUCUGUCUGCAGUCUGUUCACGGAGAACGUCCUGGCUCACCCGUGUAUCGUCUUCCGCAGACAGUGUCAGGUGAACUACCACGCCCGCUGUUACCACCUGACCCCCUUCAGCGCCGUCGCCGUCAUGUACUCCAUCACCAAGGCUCAGGGUCCUAAGGCUUUGUGGAAGGGGAUGGGCAGCACCUUUAUCGUUCACGGCAUCACACUCGGCGCCGAGGGAAUCAUCAGCGAGUUCACGCCGUUACCACGGGAGCUUCCUCACAGGUGGAGCUGGAAGCAGCUGGCGGGUCAUUUGCUUCUUAAAGGGUAAAUUCACUGAAACACAAACAUAUAAAAACAGCAAUUUACAGGAUGGAAAAAGUUUUGGAAAAGUUUUGGAAAUCUAUUUCACAAAGCUGUGUAAUAAUACAUGAUGUGUUAAAUGACUGUCGGAAAUUUGAAAAUCCAACAAUAAUUCCUGGUUUCACGGUUCCUGGCUGAUAAACGAGGCCAUUUUGGGUUUUUUGAAGGAGGCAUGUUUAAAAUAAAUUAAUAAAAAUGCCAAAAUGUUUCUCUUA